rnacentral:rRNA from 1 species
GACGAACGCUGGCGGCGUGCUUAACACAUGCAAGUCGAACGGAAAGGCCCUGCUUUUGUGGGGUGCUCGAGUGGCGAACGGGUGAGUAACACGUGAGUAACCUGCCCUUGACUUUGGGAUAACUUCAGGAAACUGGGGCUAAUACCGGAUAGGAGCUCCUGCUGCAUGGUGGGGGUUGGAAAGUUUCGGCGGUUGGGGAUGGACUCGCGGCUUACCAGCUUGUUGGUGGGGUAGUGGCUUACCCAGGCUUUGACGGGUCGCCGGCCUGAGAGGGUGACCGGCCACAUGGGGACUGAGAUACGGCGCAGACUCCUACGGGAGGCAGCAGUGGGGAAUAUUGCACAAUGGGCGGAAGCCUGAUGCAGAAACGCCGCGUGCGGGAUGACCGCCUUCGGGUUGUAAACCGCUUUCGCCUGUGACGAAGCGUGAGUGACGGUAAUGGGUAAAGAAGCACCGGCUAACUACGUG